GAUACCCUAUUAUUUUAAGCUGUAUGUUGUUAGUAGAUAAUUAUUAUGAAAUCAUAAGAUUUUGGCGGUAUUUUAAGCUUUUUAGAGGAAUUUGCUCUGUAAUGGAUAAAACGCCUGGAUCUUACUUAAUUUAGUUAGUUCAAUUUGUAUACCACUAUAUUUAAUUAUAUUGAAUAAUAAUGUUUAGGAUUUUUCUUUAAAAAAUAUAUUAAGUCAAGGUGCAAUCUAAAAUUAUGAAUGAAGUGAAUUACAUUGAUUAUAAUUAAGAUUAUUAUGAAAGAUUUAAAUUAGGAUUUAAAAGUAAAUUAUUAAUAGAA
rnacentral:rRNA from 1 species